rnacentral:rRNA from 1 species
GACGAACGCUGGCGGCGUGCUAACACAUGCCAGUCGCACGGAAAGGCCCUGCUUUUGUGGGGUGCUCGAGUGGCGAACGGGUGAGUAACACGUGAGUAACCUGCCCUUGACUUUGGGAUAACUUCAGGAAACUGGGGCUAAUACCGGAUAGGAGCUCCUGCUGCAUGGUGGGGGUUGGAAAGUUUCGGCGGUUGGGGAUGGACUCGCGGCUUAUCAGCUUGUUGGUGGGGUAGUGGCUUACCAAGGCUUUGACGGGUAGCCGGCCUGAGAGGGUGACCGGCCACAUUGGGACUGAGAUACGGCCCAGACCCCUACGGGAGGCAGCAGUGGGGAAUAUUGCACAAUGGGCGGAAGCCUGAUGCAGCAACGCCGCGUGCGGGAUGACGGCCUUCGGGUUGUAAACCGCUUUCGCCUGUGACGAAGCGUGAGUGACGGUAAUGGGUAAAGAAGCACCGGCUAACUACGUG